rnacentral:rRNA from 1 species
CAAAAGGGCACCUGGGGGAUGCCUUGGCUUCUACAGGCGAGGAAGGACGUGGCAAGCGACGAAACGCUGCGGGGACCGGCUGGCACGGGCUGAUCCGCAGGUAUCCGAAUGGGGCAACCCGGCGGUCUGAAGGACCGUCAUUCAUGUGUUACGCAUGAAGGCUCACCCGCUGAACUGAAACAUCUAAGUAGGCGGAGGAAAAGAAAACAAUCAGUGAUGGCGUCAGUAGUGGCGAGCGAACGCGCUAGAGCCCAAACCAGGCUCGUUACGGCGGGACUGGGGUUAUAGGACUUUGCAUCAAGCAUCAUGAUCAACACGAAUGGUCUGGGAAGGCCAACCGCAGGGGGUGAGAGUCCCGUAGUGAUCAUAUCAGGGUGUGGGCGGAGUAUCCUGAGUAGGGGGGAGCCGGAGGGACUCCCUCUGAAGUCGGCAGCACCAUCUGCCAAGGCUAAACACUGUAGAAGACCGAUAGGGAAGAGUACCGUGAGGGAAAGGUGAAAAGGACUGGGUGUACCAGGGUGAAACAGAACCUGAAACCAGGUGCCUACAAGCGGUCGGAGCCACGUAGAUGUGGUGACGGCGUGCCUUUUGCAUAAUGAGCCUACGAGUAACGGUCACUAGCGAGGUUAAGGAAGUGGACUUCCGGAGCCGAAGCGAAAGCGAGUCUGAAGAGGGCGAUGUAGUUAGUGGCUGUUGACGCGAAACUUGGUGAUCUACCCAUGGCCAGGUUGAAGGGGUGGUAACACACCCUGGAGGACCGCACCGAUAAACGUUGAAAAGUUUCCGGAUGAGUUGUGGGUAGGGGUGAAAGGCCAAUCAAACUGAGAAAUAGCUCGUACUCUCCGAAAUGUUUUUAGGAACAGCGUUCUGUGUUACCCCACUGGAGGUAGAGCGACCGAUUGAAUGCGGGGGUGUCAUAGCCUACCAACUUGAGUCGAACUCCGAAUGCCGGUGGGGGUGCAGGGCAGUGAGGGGCAGGGUGCUAAGGUCCUGCUCCGAGAGGGGAACAACCCAGACCAUCCGCUAAGGUCCCCAAGUGUGUGCUAAGUUGAACAAAGGUGGUCCGGCUGCCGAGACAGCCAGGAGGUUAGCUUGGAAGCAGCUAUUCCUUUAAAGAGUGCGUAACAGCUCACUGGUCGAGCGGGGCGGGCAUCGAUAAUAAACGGGCAUCAAGCACAGCACCGAAGCGGUGGAUCAUGACCAAGCGAGCUUGGUCAUUGAUGGUAGGAGAGCAUACGGCGGGGGGUGAAGUUGGCGCGUGAGCGCUGGUGGACCGCGUCGUAGAGCAAAUGUAGGCAUAAGUAACGAGAAGGAGGGUGGGAACCCCUCCCGCCGUAAGACCCAGGGUUCCCGGGCGACGGCAGUCACCCCGGGGUUAGUCGGGACCUAAUGGCCCAGCGAAAGCGCCGGUCAGAUGGCCAGCAGGUGAAUAGUCCUGCACUGCCUUAUCGUGUGAAUCACUGACAAAUUGCCGGACUCUGUGCGUGCUGCGGGAAUAGCGCGCUGAGCGGAGGCUACGGCUGAAGCGAACGGGGGAAGGGGGUUUCAAGAAAAGGUGGUGAAACGUCAGCGAUGAGGUACCCGUACCGUAAACCGACACAGGUGGUUGGGGCGAAUAGCCCAAGGCGCACGAGAGAAUCAUGGCCAAGGAACUCGGCAAGAUAACCCUGUAACUUCGGGAGAAGGGGGGCCUCCUCGCCUGCAAGGGUGAGAGGUUGCAGAGCAAAGGCCCAGGCGACUGUUUACCAAAAACACAGGACUCUGCCAAAUCGAGAGAUGACGCAUAGGGUCUGACACCUGCCCGGUGCUGGAAGGUUAAGGGGGGGGCUUAGCGCAAGCGAGGGUCUGAACUGAAGCCCCAGUAAACGGCGGCCGUAACUAUAACGGUCCUAAGGUAGCGAAAUUCCUUGUCGGGUAAGUUCCGACCUGCACGAAUGGUGUAACGAUCUGGGCACUGUCUCAGCCAUGAGCUCGGUGAAAUUGUAGUAGCGGUGAAGAUGCCGCUUACCCGCCACGGGACGGAAAGACCCCGUGCACCUUUACUACAGCUUAGUAUGGGGCGCUGGUGACGGAUGUGUAGGAUAGGCGGGAGGCGUUGAAGCGGUGUCGCCAGGCAUCGUGGAGCCAACCUUGAAAUACCGCCCUUUUGUCACUGGCUUUCUAACCUCUGAAUGGGGGGACAGUACUUGGUGGGUAGUUUGACUGGGGUGGUCGCCUCCGAAAGGGUAACGGAGGCUUCCCAAGGUUUGCUCAGGCCGGACGGUAAUCGGUCGGGGAGUGCAAUAGCAGAAGCAAGCUUGACAGUGAGGCACACAGGCCGAUCUGGUGCGAAAGCAGGGUAUAGUGAUCCGGUAGCGCUGCAUGGGUGGCCUAUCGCUCAAAGGAUAAAAGGUACGCCGGGGAUAACAGGCUGAUCUCCCCCAAGAGCUCACAUCGACGGGGAGGUUUGGCACCUCGAUGUCGGCUCGUCACAUCCUGGGGCUGGAGAAGGUUCCAAGGGUUCGGCUGUUCGCCGAUUAAAGUGGCACGCGAGCUGGGUUCAGAACGUCGUGAGACAGUUCGGUCCCUAUCUGUGGUGGGCGUGGGAUGAUUGCGGGGAUCUGUCCUUAGUACGAGAGGACCGGGAUGGACGCACCGCUGGCGCAUCGGUUGUAUUGCCCAGUGCAUGGCCGAGUAGCUACGUGCGGAUUGGAUAAGCGCUGACAGCAUCUAAGUGCGAAACCGACCCCAAGAUGAGUCAUCCGGUAAGAAAGGCUGUAGGAGACGACUACGUGGAUAGGCGGCAGGUGGAGGUGUGGAAACAUGCGGAGCCGAGCCGUACUAAUGUGCCUGUAAGGUU